GACGAACGCUGGCGGCAUGCCUAAUACAUGCAAGUCGAGCGAACAGAUGAAGUGCUUGCACUUCUGACGUUAGCGGCGAACGGGUGAGUAACACGUAAGGAAUCUACCUAUAAGCGGGGGAUAACAUUCGGAAACGGGUGCUAAUACUGCAUAAUAUCUUCUUCCGCAUGGAAGGAGAUUGAAAGACGGCUCUGCUGUCACUUAUAGAUGACCUUGCGGUGCAUUAGUUAGUUGGUGGGGUAACGGCCUACCAAGACGAUGAUGCAUAGCCGACCUGAGAGGGUGAUCGGCCACAUUGGGACUGAGACACGGCCCAAACUCCUACGGGAGGCAGCAGUAGGGAAUCUUCCGCAAUGGGCGAAAGCCUGACGGAGCAAUGCCGCGUGAGUGAAGAAGGCCUUCGGGUCGUAAAACUCUGUUAUAAGAGAAGAACAAAUUGUAGAGUAACUGCUACAGUCUUGACGGUGUCUUAUCAGAAAGCCACGGCUAACUACGUGCCAGCCGCCGCGGUAA
rnacentral:rRNA from 1 species